GUACACCUGCCGGGAACAUAGGAAAGAAAAUGUGUUAUGCUGUGGUGCACAUUGGUGAAUUCAAAAUACAUUAUGAAUUACUAAUUCAUCUAAGCACACCUUUGUGGACCUUAAUGUGUGGGCUAGGAGUGGCAAAGGACCUUCACCGAAACCGUUUGCACAAAAACUGCAUACAAUUGCCCAGGUGGUAAAAGAAAUUGGGGGAGCUUCAAGGUGUAUAGUGCAGGAUCAUUCAAAAUUGGUCACAAUCGAACAAAAUCUAAGGUCGGGCUUUGAAGGGCCUCUGGAAAUGAGACUCGAUGGCCGCUUCAAACCAAAGUGGCAGAGUUCCUGUCUUUUCAGGUAUGGCCCUAAAUAUAAAGUUCAUUCACAAUCACUUCAGCUCUUACCAGUUGGUCGUCUUAAAAUUAAUGAUCAAAUUAUUAAAGACUAGCUUGUCGCUUUGUGGUCACGUUUUGAUCAUGUUUGCAUGGUUAAACAUGAUGCCUUUCGAUGGACUUUAUUUUGACUUUUUUUCUAGUUCGGGUAAUGUUCGAUUCAAAAUGUCAGAAAAUGGGAACAAUUGUUGAUCAUUUUUCUUAAGUCUGAUCUCCAUGAAUGUCUUGUUUUCCUGAAAACAGAGAUAAUUUGUUUGCUUUCAUGGAGGACUAAGGAAAUCAGAAAGUAUUCACAUUUGAUUGAAAUCAGGAUUUCGACUUUUAAAAAUAUUUAAAACAUGGCUCACAAACUACACUUCCUUUCCAUUUUGUGUGCAAUAAGCAGCUGGUGACAACCAUAUUUUACUGCAUUUUUGUGUUCAGUCUUGCCAUUAGUCAUUUGAGUAACUAGAAAUAACAAAAUUAGUAAUAAAAGCAUUUGAAUGGAAGAAGAGUUGUGUCUCUUCCACUUUAUGAAAUAAAUCAAUGCCACUACUUUAAACACUGCAAGGACAGCAGGUCAGGAAUCCCCCACAUAAGGCCCUUACUAGUUGUUGCUGGCUAUUAGGGGGCCCAGAAAGAUGGCUGAUAUUGGUCCAUAUCAACGACAACUGAAAACCCCUGUAAGCUACCUACCGGGGGCUCCUUCUUGCCAGGGAACCCUAGGUGGUCUAGUACCACCCCUGGGUUCCACAAUCACCUCUAUUUUGAUCUAUUUGUAAUUAACAUUUAAAGACAAGCUUAAAAGCAGCCCAAAUAAAAUCAUCGCAUUUUAACAAUUUUAAAGCUUGUGGCAAAAUUUUAUGUCGGCAGACUUUUUUUAAACAUCAAUCCCAAUGACUUGCUACGAAAAGAUUUUGCCUUUAACCUUGCUGGCGUUAGCAGGUUAGAAAAACCAUGAUUUUCUUUUUUUUUUCUCAGGAUGCUGUGCCAUCCCUGAAUUGCCUCACAUUCAAGCCAAUCAAUAUAAUUUAUUUGGACAGUAGUGUAACGCAAUAAAUGCUGUAGGCCAGUGACAUCAAACGUACGGCCCGACGGGGUCCAAUCGGGCCUGCGGGCAUUGUUCUGCUCGUCAGGCAAGUUUAAAUUCAUUUAAACAUACUCUAUUUUGAAACUCAAGCUUUUAUUUUGACACAAGCACUGUAGAACCGGAAGUGCUGUGAGUUGCGUGACAUGACGCACGAACCCGAGAGAGAGAAAAGAUCCGCGCGACGGGGCACAUCUUCAAUCCAUAUGCAGUAAGAGAGUGAGACUGUGUGAGAUUGUGAAGCAACGCCUAUAUAUGUUAAUAUAUAUGGGUGUUUAUUUGAUUACGGGGCUUUUUGUGUCCUUGAUGUAAAAUUUGAAAGAAAAAAUAUAUUUAAAUAGAUUUUUUUCAAUAUCCAGCAGUGGGCGUGCCUAAUAAUAAGUGUUGUGAAAAAUAAAUUUUUUUGAGUGGUUUUAUGAUGGUAUUUUACUGUUUUCACCCUGUCCCUAGCACAGGGUUUGGAUAUAUGAAGCUCUAUCUUUCUACUAAAAAAUGCUAAAAUGGUGUAACUUUUAGCUUAAAUUCCUUAAAAUAUAAUAUAAUUAAUGAUUUCUCAUCAUAUAUAUAAAACAUUUUAUACUAAAAUACUCUCUCUUUAUACAAAUUUUUACUAAAAUAUGUCUGUCCCUUAAAGUUGCUGUCAUUACCACCACAAUGACCAUUUUCAGAUCAAUAAAGUUUCUUCAAAAUCUGAUUCUUUAAUUCCCUGUGUCAUUUUGUCGUCACUCAAGCACAUGCUAGGGGAGACAGAAGUCAGACAUUUUGAUAAUUGGAAGAGUAACUAUUUUCCUCAUUUGUACCCUUAAGUCACAGAAUAUUUGUAUUGCAUGUCAUUACCAAACGACUUGUAGUGUUAAUAUGUUUCAAGAAUUUUAUGUAAAAACCUGGUAAUCAUAUAAAAAUGUUGUGCAGGACAAGCUAGCUAAAAGGAAAUUUUAAGCUAACUACCAGCAUAGCACAGCUAGCUAAAAACUUGUCAUUACCAUCUCAUGUCAUCACAUAGUGCAGUGUGGUGGUGAUGACAGAAACAAAAAUCAAAAGUGCCCGAAAUCAAAUAAAUACAUAUAUAUCAUAUAUUGUUUGAUAAGCAAUUUCACUUGCAAUUGUGUACAAGUGCAGUUAAAAACGAGUUUGAGACAUGGGUUUAUUAAAGCUAGGAUAAAAAUGGUUGGGUUACGUCAGACAAAUAAAUCAUGUGAGUGACUCGCUGUGGCGGUGGCGACCCCCGACAGGGAAAACCUGUAAGUCACUUCUUUAGUGAGACGUAGGCUACAAGUUAAUUUUAUGCAUGCUAAUAGUUGGAGAUUGCUUGCUAAUUGAUUGUGCAUACUAACGCUAACCUCAUAUAGAUUCAUUGUUUGUGUUUUCAGCUUUUUAUGGCAAGCUACUGGGUGACUGUUAAAUUAACAGCUAAUUUAAGUUUAUAUUUUGCACAUACUGUGGAUAUGUAUGUCCUCAAUAGACUUGGCUAAUACAUUUAGUUUGUCUUGAUUUCUUUAGUUAGAGUCUGUCAAUCUGCCUGAUUUAAAUUUACAAGGUAGGGUGAUAACUGCACUUUCAUUCUGAAAAGUUCCCACUUUAGGUUGUAUGGUGUGAUGAGUCAAUUGAGCCUUUCAAGAUUUCCAGAUGGAUGUGGAAAUAUGUCCCAUCAGCACGGAGAAACCGAUAGCCAGGGCAGCGGAUCCCAAGCGUCCGUUGCGACGCUCGUCUGUCACAGCAAAGAUGCAGACCACCAGCUGCAGGGUGAGGAAGACCUCCACAGUGGUGGCCAUGCCCAGACUGAUGCCUGGCUGCAGCUACCGAGGCAAUGUGGGGAGAAAUUACCUUUACCACAGCUGUUUCUGGCUCUCAAGGUUCAAUUCAGACAUGUACGGCAAAUUUUUUUAUUAUAUAUUUGAAUUGAAAAUGUAUUAUUUAUUAAAUAUAUUUAAAAACUAA